GAUGAACGCUGGCGGCGUGCCUAAUACAUGCAAGUCGAGCGAAUGGAUUAAGAGCUUGCUCUUAUGAAGUUAGCGGCGGACGGGUGAGUAACACGUGGGUAACCUGCCCAUAAGACUGGGAUAACUCCGGGAAACCGGGGCUAAUACCGGAUAACAUUUUGAACCGCAUGGUUCGAAAUUGAAAGGCGGCUUCGGCUGUCACUUAUGGAUGGACCCGCGUCGCAUUAGCUAGUUGGUGAGGUAACGGCUCACCAAGGGAACGAUGCGUAGCCGACCUGAGAGGGGGAUCGGCCACACUGGGACUGAGACACGGCCCAGACUCCUACGGGAGGCAGCAGUAGGGAAUCUUCCGCAAUGGGCGAAAGUCUGACGGAGCAACGCCGCGUGAGUGAUGAAGGCUUUCGGGUCGUAAAACUCUGUUGUUAGGGAAGAACAAGUGCUAGUUGAAUAAGCUGGCACCUUGACGGUACCUAACCAGAAAGCCACGGCUAACUACGUGCCAGCCGCCGCGGUAA
rnacentral:rRNA from 1 species